AAUAGAUACCCUGGUAGUCCACGCCGUAAACGAUGGAUACUAGCUGUCGGGCGCAAGCCUCGGUGGCUAAGCGAAAGUGAUAAGUAUCCCACCUGGGGAGUACGGGCGCAAGCCUGAAACUCAAAGGAAUUGACGGGGGCCCGCACAAGCGGUGGAGCAUGUGGUUUAAUUCGAUGAUACGCGAGGAACCUUACCAAGGCUUAAAUGGGAAGCGACAGGUCUGGAAACAGGCCCUUCUUCGGACGCUUUUCAAGGUGCUGCAUGGUUGUCGUCAGCUCGUGCCGUGAGGUGUCAGGUUAAGUCCUAUAACGAGCGCAACCCCUGUUGUUAGUUGCCAGCGAGUCAAGUCGGGAACUCUAGCAAGACUGCCGGUGCAAACCGUGAGGAAGGUGGGGAUGACGUCAAAUCAUCACGGCCCUUACGCCUUGGGCUACACACGUGCUACAAUGGACGGUACAGAGAGCAGCCACUGGGUGACCAGGAGCGAAUCUACAAAACCGUUCUCAGUCCGGAUCGGAGUCUGCAACUCGACUCCG
rnacentral:rRNA from 1 species